AGUCCACUUCUUAUUUACUUAUCCCUCUCAUCAUUCUCUUCAUCAACACAUUCACUCAUCUCUCUCUCUCUUUCUCUUCCUUGAUCUCAGCCGGAUCUGAUGGGGGACGAACACAGGAGAGAUAGAAAAAAUAUAUAAGAAAUUUCUAGAAAAAAAAACCCUAAUUGAAAAAAGGAUAGAGGGAUUUCUCUUUUGAGGGGACUGUUGUCUGGCUCGAGGACUCUUGUUCUAAUACAAUCUCAUUAUUUGGAUAGUUUCAGAUCUGAUGAUUGAUUAGGGCUUUGGUGUCGUCGGACCAGGCUUCAUUCCCCCCAAUUAUUACUCCCUCUCAAUCCGAACCAACUAAGAAGUUUCGUCCCUUUCUUCAGCUGCGUAUCUAGGGUUUCCAUUUUUUUCUUAAUCCAAUCUAUAUUUAGUUCAAUGUGAAAAAAGUUUUGAUGUUGGUUCAAAACUUUUUUCGUAUUAUACGUCUUCUAGAUCUUCUGAGUUUCAGUUUCUUCAAGCAUGGAUGGACGAUCAAGAAACUUAAUCGGAUAUUUUCACAUUUUCCAAUAUUGUAAUAUGUAAUAAUGUUGUUCUGAUCUAUUCGUUUGAUUGACUUAUCGUAUACCACAGUCACUUAUGUAUUUUUUUUGAACGUAAGACGAAUUUUAAUACAUCACCCAGUAUCAGGAACUC